rnacentral:lncRNA from 1 species
CCUACAAUGAGCUAAGUGGAGAGGAAAUUACGCCUAAAGACCUGGGGAAAAAGGUUGUAGCGCCGCAAUACACGAAGGCCCUUCCCCCAAAAACUGCUUCUUCUCCGUUCAAAGAAGACAGAACAGCGGUGACAUCAAAAAAGAUCCCCACCUGAAUUACAUUUGAUCUCUAAGAAGAAUACACAAAAAUAGACCCUAGACAUCUACGAAUCAGCAACGCCGCUGACAUCCCAACAGGACCACAAACGACCCUCUAUAUUCUCGUCUUCUUCAUCCCUUCCCCACCGUCGAGCUUUGUCUUCAACCAGACAUACCACCCUCACCCUUUAUCCGUUUUCCAACUCUUUCAUUCCCUCACAGCAGCCAUUUCCAGCAGCAUGCCCAAACAUAGCUCGCCAGAAAAUAUGUAGCCUCAGCGACCACCUAGAUCCGGCUGAACUCCAGUCAUCUUCCUCACCAUAAAACCAGCUGAAGACCCCUUGAACCCCCUUUGUCCAUUUUCGAGUUCGUCGCCGAUCAAGAUUGUUCGACGUCGAUUCCGAUUCGAGCCUGCUGCUGCUCGAGGUUAGAGUCUGGGUUUUUGCUCAAGGUCGUCGAGGUCCGGACUGUUGAGCUCGUCAAUCACAGCUUUGGCUUUGAGUUUUCUUUUCCUACCCGUUGUUUCAAAAACACAUUGCAGCUAUAAAGGUCUAUUCUGAUAUCUUUAUUAUUUCUCAUUUGAUGAUAUUUUUACCAUGAUUAUCGUGAUAUUUUCUAGUUGUAACUUGACCGAAAUUUAUAGUUCAUCAUAGUUUUUUGUUGGUUUUAAUCAUCUGGUUUUGCAUUCUCGCUGAAAUAUUAGACCAUGGCUCCUAUGCUGGAAUGGAAUGAAACUUUAGUUUUUUGUUAAAAAAGGCACAGGGUACUGCCAAUUGUUUAAGUGGGUGGUGGCCAAUGAUAUUUAAAUUGGAAUUAGAUUUUUACCAUGGAUGGUGCUAAUCAAAGUUCAAAGAUUGUUCUCAUGUUUAAGAUCACGCAUGUUGUCGUACCAUUUUUAGUGUAGUUGAUAGCUUCUUUUAAAUGCUUUUACAUGUUGAAUGAUUGAUAUUGGUUGAUCGUUAUGUAUCUUAAAUGGUUGUUUGGCCAUGGGAGAUCCGAUAUUGAAACAUAAUAAUAAGGAGUCAUGGGUUGUUGAAUAUUAAUUAAAAGUAAAACUCUGUUCAACAUGUUUUAUUUAGUUCUACUUUGUUUUAUCACUUUAAUCGCUAGGAGUAUGUAUGGCCCUCGUUUAAUUAAUCUUGUUUAUCCAUAGAAUUUGAGGCGUGCCAUUUAGUUGAAUCUCCAUGGCCCUGCGUUGGUUUCUUUGGGCAUGUAUUUUAAUAAUAUUACCUUCCUAAACUCGGGUGUGCAUUUCAUGUGACCCAAAUCAAAUCUUAAACCGUUGAAUAAAAUAUAUUUAGGAUUGCGGGUGCAUUUCAUGUGGCACGAUCCAAAGAUGUGUUUUAAACGACGUUUAAUCUUCUUUAAAAAUUAAAUAAAAGCGGUUUGAAAGUUAAAAUUGCACCAUAGGUUAAAACAUGUAUUAAAAUCAGAUAAUUAAGCUGAAUAUAACAGUUGAGCGUCCGUGCUAGAACCACAUAACUCGAGAAUGCCUAACACCUUCUCCCAGGUUAAUAGAAUUCCUUACUCGGAUUUCUGGUUCGCGGACUGUAAUACAGAGUCAAUCUUUCCUCGAUUCGGGAUUUUAAACCGGUGACUUGGGAUACCAUAAAUUAUCCCAAGUGGCGACUCUAAAUUUUUAAUAAAAUAAUCCCGUUUCGAUUGUCACUUUAAGUUGGAAAAACUCCCUUAUACCCCCUUCCGGGGGUGUAGGUAAAAAGGAGGUGUGACAAUCCCAAAUGAAUCUGAUGACUUCUUUUUCUCGGACCCUCUCGAAUGCUUGAGCUUAACCCAUUUAGAGAAAUAGUCAAUCAUAAAUAGUAUGAAUUGAGCCUUACUAGGUGCCUAUGGUAGGGACCGACGAUCUCCAUUCCUCGUUUCAUGAAUGGCCAGGGUGACAGAACCGAGUGUAGUAACUCCCCAGGUUGGUAGAUCAUGAGUGCAUGCCUCUGACAGCCAUCACAUUUGCGCACGAACGCCCUCGCAUCUUUCUCUUUGUCGAUCCAAUGAUAGGCAGCUCUGAUUAUCUUACGAACCAACAAUUCUGCUCCCGAAUAGUUUCCGCAGGUGCCUUCGUGAACUUCCCUCAAAACAUAUUCAGUGUCUCCUGGUCCCAAGCAUAUGGCGAGUGGGCCAUCGAACGUUCUCCUAAAUAGAAAGUUAUCUUCAGGCAGGCUAAACCUGGCCGCCUUUGUGCACAACGCUCUCGAUUCUUUGGUAUCCGGGGGAAAUUUCCCAAUCUUCAGGUAGUCUAUAUACUUGUUUCUCUAGUCCCAAGUUAGACUUGUCACAUUUAUCUUGGUGUGGCCUUCCUCCACUAAUGAUUUCAUGAGUUCUAUGACCGUCCUUGAACUGAAUUCAUUGUCAUCAACCAAUGACCCCAAGUUAGCCAGAGAGUCGGCUUCGCUAUUUUGAUCCCGAGGCACGUGUUGUAGUGUCCAUUCUUUGAAUCGACAUAGUUUUACCUGUAGCUUGUCCAAGUAUCUUCGCAUCCGUUCCUCUUUUACUUCGAAUGUCCCAUUGACUUAAUUUACCACAAGGAGGGAAUCACAUUUAGCUUCGAUCACUUCAGCCCCCAAACUUUUAGCCAAUUCGAGACCUGCAAUCAUGGCCUCAUACUCAGCCUCAUUGUUAGUCAAUUUCACAAUUCUAAUAGAUAGUCUAAUUACAUUACCCGUGGGUGGCUUUAACAUGAUGCCAAGUCCAGACCCUUUCGCGUUCGAGGCACCGUCCAUAAAGAGGGUUCAGAUCCCUGAUGGAGUCCCCGAGUUCAGCAACAAUUCCCUCUCAACGUCAGGUAUUAGGGCCGGCGUGAAGUCGACCACGAAGUCUGCUAAAAUUUGGGAUUUGAUGGUUGCUCGGGGUCGAUAUUUGAUAUCGUACCCGCUGAUUACCACGGCCCACUUGGCCAAUCGUUUUGAGAGCUCAGGUUUGUGCAAUAUGUUUCUCAAUGGGUAAGUAGUUACAACAUAUGGGAUGGCAUUGAAAAUAUGGCUUUAACUUCCUAGAGGCGCUUAGCAAAGCGAGUGCCAAUUUCUCCAGGUGAGGAUACCUUGUUUCGGCCUCGCCUAGAGUCGUACUAACAUAAUACAUAGAAAAUUACGUACCUUCCUCUUCUCGGACUAGGACUCUACUUACUGCUAUCUCGGAUACCGCUAAGUACAGUUACAAUUGCUCAUCUGUUUUCAGGGUAUGAAGUAAGGGUGUACUCAAAAGGUACCAUUUAAGUUCUUCCAAAGCUUUCUAGCACUCCACGGUCUAUGAAAAGUUAUUCUUCUUCUUCUUCUUCUUCUUUAGCAAUGAUAAGAACCGAUGGCUUUUAUUGGAAGACCUUGAUAUGAACUGACCCAGGGCUGCUAUUCGCCCGGUUAACCUCUGAACGGCCUUGACAUUGUGCACUAUGGUGAUGUCUUCUAUAGAUUUUAAUUUGUCAGGAUUAAUCUUGAUUCCUCGGUUGGACACCAUGAAUCCGAGGAACUUCCCGAACCCAACACCAAAUGCGCACUUCUCCAAAUUUAACUUCAUGUUAUACUUCUUCAGUAUGCUGAAGGUUUCACGCAAAUGUUCCAAAUGGUCCUCUGCUCGUAGGGACUUAACUAACAUGUCGUCAAUUUAAAUCUGCAUUGAUUUUCCUAUUAGUUCUUCGAACAUCCGGUUUACUAGGCAUUGGUAAGUGGCACCAACAUUCUUUAAUCCGAACGGCAUUACGUUAUAACAAUAGGUGCCAAAUUUAGUGAUGAAAGAAGUUUUUUCCUAAUCGUCUGAGUCCAUCCAGAUUUGAUUGAACCCAGAACAGGCAUCAAGAAAGAUGAGUAUCGCGUGGUCGACCGUCACAUCGAUCAUGCGGUCAGUUGGGAAGAUGAAAAGAGUCCUUGGGGUAUGCCUUGUUCAGUCUUUGUAGUCUACACAAAUUCUUAAUUUAUUUCCCUUUUUAGGGACUACUACUACAUUUGCUGACCAAUCUGGGUACUUAACUUCUCGAAUGAAACCUAUUUUAAGGAGCUUGAAUACCUUGUCUUUAAUGAAUGCAUGCUUGACCUAGGACUGGGGCCUCCUCUUCUGUUUGACCGAGUCGAACUUUGGGUCCAAGCUUAGCUUAUAAGUAGUUAUUUCUGGCAGGAUCCCUGUCAUAUCAAGAUGGGACCAAGCAAAAUAAUCUAUGUUAGCUAUAAGGAAUUUGAUGAGUUUCUUCCUGAGCUCGGGAGUUAGUCCCGUGCCCAGGUAUACCUUCCAGUCGAGCAGGUGUUCGAUCAAUAUGACUUGUUUCAGCUACUCGACCGUCGACUUGGUGGCAUCGGAAUCGUUAGGGGCUAUGAACGACCUAGGGAUUCCGUAAUCAUCGUCCUCUCCCAUCUCUUGCCUCUCUAGUUUGGUCGGGGCGAGCGUCGGUGAUUGCUAUUUGGUUUCUUCCUUGGUACACAAACUCGACCACGAACAUUUCUUUUGCGGAUAUUGAGGUCACCUCAUCGAGCGGGAACAUUUCUUUUGAGGCUGGCUGCUCUCCAUAAACUAUUUUGAUCCUUCCCGGUGUGUGGAAUUUCAAUGCCUGAUGUAGUGUCGAGGGUACUGCCCUCGUGUUGUGAAUUUAUGGUCUUUCAAACAGAGCAUUGUAUCUCAUAUCUCCUUCGAUCACGUAGAAUAUUGUUUCUUGAACGGUUUCGGUGGUGUUUACUAUCAGGGUUAUCUCCCCUUUAGUAAUCCCGCAUGCCAUGUUAAAUCUGUUUAGAACUUGGACUGCGGGCACUAAUUGGUCUUGUACACCCAAUUGGCUCGAUCUAAUGAUAUUGGCCAAGCUACCUGGAUCAAUUAACACACGCUUAACUCGAGAUUUAUUUAUGAGUAUAGAUAUACUAGUGUAUCAUUGUGUGGCUGUACGAUGCCUUUAGCAUCCUCGUCGUUGAAAGAUACAAUUCCCUCCGAUACGUAAUCUCGAGUUCGUUUAUCCGUUGUAAUGGACACCUUAGUGCGCUUUAACAUUGGUCCUUGGGGGAUGUCAACUUCGCCAAUGAUCAUGUUAAUUACGUGCUGAGGUUCUUCCUGCUCGAUCUAUUUAUUGGAUUCCCUAUUCCUGAUGUGCGUUUUUGCCCCAUAACUCAGAAAUUCUCGAAUGUGUCCGUUAUUAAAUAACCGGGCUACUUCUUCUCUUAGUUGUUUGCAGUCUUCGGAUCUGUGGUCGUGAGUGCCAUGAUACUUUCACAUCAGGUUAGGGUCCUUUUGGACAGGAUCAGACUGCAAUGGUUGAGGCUACUUAGUAUCUUUGAUGUGUCCGAUGGAUGAUACGAUGCCGGCAACAUCAAUGUUAAAGUUGUACUCCGAUAACCUUUGUGCCUCUUUAGACCCGGUGGGUCUGUAGAAACCGAUUUUGCUCAUGAGUCCCCGAUUAUUAUGGCCUCGAUCGCUCCCUCUUUCGCUCCUCCAAAGGUCGCAUGCAGACCCAUUUCCCCUUCGAUCUCCGUUAUAUGGUUGAUACCAAUCCUUUUUCGAUCUUGGUUCAUGAUCGACCGUUCUUUUGGAUCUAUCACUACUUCUGAGGGGAUAAAAAGAUCCGGAAGGGGCCCCGAGCUGAUCGUCUUGGACCCUAAUUUUCAAUUGGUACCUGUUAUGGAUGUCGGCCCAAGUUACCAUCGGAUAUUCUAUCAAAAGUUUCAAUUGUUGCGAAGCCAAUGAGCUUUGGGGGUUGAGUCCUUGGGUGAAUUCCUGAACGGACCAAUCGUCCGUGACCGGAGGCAGAUCCAUCUAUUACAUUUGAAACCUUGACAUGAAUUUUCUGAGCAUCUCGUUAUCUCUUUGCUUUACUUUGAAAAUGUCUGACUUCCUGGUCUCGACCUUGAUGGCUCUGGUGUGUUCUUUUGCAAAGGCAUCCGCAAGAAUAGCAAACGAGUUAAUAGAAUUAGGGAGUAAAUUGUGAUACCAUAUCAUGGCUCCCUUUGACAAGUUCUCUUUGAACGUUUUCAACAGAACGGAUUCUAUUUCGUCAUCUUCCAAGUCGUUUCCCUUGAUGGUGCAUGUGUAGGAGGUCACAUGCUCAUUUGGAUCAAUUGUUCCAUUAUACUUUGGAAUUUCGG